GACGAACGCUGGCGGCGUGCUUAACACAUGCAAGUCGAACGGAAAGGCCCUGCUUUUGUGGGGUGCUCGAGUGGCGAACGGGUGAGUAACACGUGAGUAACCUGCCCUUGACUUUGGGAUAACUUCAGGAAACUGGGGCUAAUACCGGAUAGGAGCUCCUGCUGCAUGGUGGGGGUUGGAAAGUUUCGGCGGUUGGGGAUGGACUCGCGGCUUAUCGGCUUGUUGGUGGGGUAGUGGCUUACCGAGGCUUUGACGGGUAGCCGGCCUGAGAGGGUGACCGGCCACAUUGGGACUGAGAUACGGCCCAGACUCCUACGGGAGGCAGCAGUGGGGAAUAUUGCACAAUGGGCGGAAGCCUGAUGCAGCAACGCCGCGUGCGGGAUGACGGCCUUCGGGUUGUAAACCGCUUUCGCCUGUGACGAAGCGUGAGUGACGGUAAUGGGUAAAGAAGCACCGGCUAACUACGUG
rnacentral:rRNA from 1 species